rnacentral:rRNA from 1 species
GAUGAACGCUGGCGGCGUGCCUAAUACAUGCAAGUCGAGCGAACAGAUGAGGAGCUUGCUCCUCUGACGUUAGCGGCGGACGGGUGAGUAACACGUGGAUAACCUACUUAUAAGACUGGGAUAACUUCGGGAAACCGGAGCUAAUACCGGAUAAUAUAUUGAACCGCAUGGUUCAAUAGUGAAAGACGGUUUUGCUGUCACUUAUAGAUGGAUCAGCGCCGCAUUAGCUAGUUGGUAAGGUAACGGCUUACCAAGGCAACGAUGCGUAGCCGAGCUGAGAGGGUGAUCGGCCACACUGGAACUGAGACACGGUCCAGACCCCUACGGGAGGCAGCAGUAGGGAAUCUUCAGCAAUGGGCGCAAGCCUGACGGAGCAACGCCGCGUGCGUGAUGAAGGUCCUCGGAUCGUAAAACUCUGUUAUUAGGGAAGAACAAAGGUGUAAGUAACUAUGCACGUCUUGACGGUACCUAAUCAGAAAGCCACGGCUAACUACUUG